UUACAUCUUUUGGAUUGGCUGGGUUAUAGUUUGAAAAAGGGUGAGAGCAGUUGUCAGUUUCUGAUCAUCUGUGGAGGAAUUUGGUUUGUAGUUUUCAAUCGAUUUGAUUUGCAGAGGGAGCUAGAUUCGUCAGUUUUGUUCUGCUGGAGAAGAAGACAAAUUUGGGUUGUGCAUAUUGAAGGGAGAGAGGUUUGAAGUGGAAGCAAAUAAAAGAGCAUGCUUACAACCCAAAUGAGGAGUAUGCAGAUGUGGAAUCCACAUUGCGUUCGCAUUUGGAAUCUUUUCUAGAAACUACAAGAUCAUUCAAUAUGAUUUACACCAAGGAAAUACGUCCCUGGACACACAUGAUGGAGGUACCCCAGCUCCAUGGGUUCGGGCUUGCAGCCAAUCGCUUAUUGGAGGCAUAUAAGAUGCUUUUGAAGAAACCUGUCGAGGAUAAUGUUGAGAAGAAGAAGAAAAGGAAAGAGAUAGGGGAGGAGAGGUAGCAGCCAAUACACCCAAGCAGAUACUGAUCAAGUGCGAAAUGAGUGGGAGAAGUUUGUUGUCAACACAUAUGUGCAUGAGCCGUGAAGUAGCGCGCUUGUUGCUGGUCCAUUUUUGCUAAGGAAAGCAUCUUUCUUUGUGCUUCUCUGCUGGUACAUUGUCAUGCACCAUGUGUUGCAUGUUUUGGAACAAUGGAUAUAUAUGUAUCAACUUUUUGAUGUCCCAAGUAGAUGGGCAUGCACUAGAAUGUUUUUCUUGUGUAAAAUGUUGGUUUCAAUGAUUGGGAAAUGUAUCCCUUUUGCUUUUGAAGUUUAAAGUAAUGGUUAUAUGAAUCAUUUGAUGGUUUGCAAUGUU